GAUGAACGCUGGCGGCGUGCCUAAUACAUGCAAGUCGAGCGAACGGACGAGAAGCUUGCUUUUCUGAUGUUAGCGGCGGACGGAUGAGUAACACGUGGAUAACCUACCUAUAAGACUGGGAUAACUUCGGGAAACCGGAGCUAAUACCGGAUAAUAUUUUGAACCGCAUGGUUCAAAAGUGAAAGACGGUCUUGCUGUCACUUAUAGAGGGAUCCGCGCUGCAUUAGCUAGUUGGUAAGGUAACGGCUUACCAAGGCAACGAUGCAUAGCCGACCUGAGAGGGUGAUCGGCCACACUGGAACUGAGACACGGUCCAGACUCCUACGGGAGGCAGCAGUAGGGAAUCUUCCGCAAUGGGCGAAAGCCUGACGGAGCAACGCCGCGUGAGUGAUGAAGGUCUUCGGAUCGUAAAACUCUGUUAUUAGGGAAGAACAUAUGUGUAAGUAACUGUGCACAUCUUGACGGUACCUAAUCAGAAAGCCACGGCUAACUACGUG
rnacentral:rRNA from 1 species